rnacentral:rRNA from 1 species
AUUGAACGCUGGCGGCAGGCUUAACACAUGCAAGUCGAGCGGGGUGAUGGUGCUUGCACUAUCACUUAGCGGCGGACGGGUGAGUAAUGCUUAGGAAUCUGCCUAUUAGUGGGGGGCAACAUUUCGAAAGGAAUGCUAAUACCGCAUACGUCCUACGGGAGAAGGCAGGGGAUCUUCGGACCUUGCGCUAAUAGAUGAGCCUAAGUCGGAUUAGCUAGUUGGUGGGGUAAAGGCCUACCAAGGAGACGAUCUGUAGCGGGUCUGAGAGGAUGAUCCGCCACACUGGGACUGAGACACGGCCCAGACUCCUACGGGAGGCAGCAGUGGGGAAUAUUGGACAAUGGGCGCAAGCCUGAUCCAGCCAUGCCGCGUGUGUGAAGAAGGCCUUAUGGUUGUAAAGCACUUUAAGCGAGGAGGAGGCUACUUUAGUUAAUACCUAGAGAUAGUGGACGUUACUCGCAGAAUAAGCACCGGCUAACUCUGUGCCAGCCGCCGCCGUAA